rnacentral:rRNA from 1 species
GAUGAACGCUGACAGAAUGCUUAACACAUGCAAGUCUACUUGAUCUAUCUUCGGAUAGUGAUGGUGGCGGACGGGUGAGUAACGCGUAAACAAUCUGCCCUUCAGUCUGGGAUAACAGUUGGAAACGACUGCUAAUACCGGAUAUUAUGAAAUUUCCGCAUGGAGGUCUCAUGAAAGCUAUAUGCGCUGGAGGAGGAGUUUGCGUUCCAUUAGCUAGUUGGUGGGGUAACGGCCCACCAAGGCGACGAUGGAUAGCCGGCCUGAGAGGGUGAACGGCCACAAGGGGACUGAGACACGGCCCUUACUCCUACGGGAGGCAGCAGUGGGGAAUAUUGGACAAUGGACCAAAAGUCUGAUCCAGCAAUUCUGUGUGCACGAUGAAGGUCUUCGGAUUGUAAAGUGCUUUCAGUUGGGAAGAAGCAAGUGACGGUACCAACAGAAGAAGCGACGGCUAAAUACGUGCCAGCAGCCGCCGUAAAAC